UAGUUACAUUAAAGUAAAUAAGUUCAAAGGGGCGUAACUCCUAGAAAAAAAAUUGAAUCGCAAUUUCCCGUCGAUAUGCACAACUACAUAGUAUGUCCUUAUUAUCUGAAAAGGUUUCGUGAAAUUCUGUUGUGUGGUUUGAGAGGAGUUGCGAUGACAAACUGUUGCAGUAGUACAUUAAAGUAAAUAAGUUCAAAGGGGCGUAACUCCUAGAAAAAAAAUUGAAUCGCAAUUUCCCGUCGAUAUGCACAACUACAUAGUAUGUCCUUAUUAUCUGAAAAGGUUUCGUGAAAUUCUGUUGUGUGGUUUGAGAGGAGUUGCGAUGACAAGAA
rnacentral:lncRNA from 1 species